ACGUCAAGUCAUCAUGGCCUUACGGGUAGGGCUACACACGUGCUACAAUGGCCGGUACAAAGGGCGGCGAGCUCGCGAGAGUCAGCGAAUCCCUUAAAGCCGGUCUCAGUCCGGAUCGGAGUCUGCAACUCGACUCCGUGAAGUCGGAAUCGCUAGUAAUCGUGAAUCAGAAUGUCACGGUGAAUACGUUCCCGGGCCUU
rnacentral:rRNA from 1 species